UUUUUAUGAGAGUUUGAUCCUGGCUCAGGACGAACGCUGGCGGCGUGCCUAAUACAUGCAAGUCGAACGCUUCUUUUUCCACCGGAGCUUGCUCCACCGGAAAAAGAGGAGUG
rnacentral:rRNA from 2 species